CCUACGGGCGGCUGCAGUGGGGAAUAUUGCACAAUGGGCGCAAGCCUGAUGCAGCCAUGCCGCGUGUGUGAAGAAGGCCUUCGGGUUGUAAAGCACUUUCAGCGGGGAGGAAGGCGGUGAGGUUAAUAACCUCACCGAUUGACGUUACCCGCAGAAGAAGCACCGGCUAACUCCGUGCCAGCAGCCGCGGUAAUACGGAGGGUGCAAGCGUUAAUCGGAAUUACUGGGCGUAAAGCGCACGCAGGCGGUCUGUCAAGUCGGAUGUGAAAUCCCCGGGCUCAACCUGGGAACUGCAUUCGAAACUGGCAGGCUAGAGUCUUGCAGAGGGGGGUAGAAUUCCAGGUGUAGCGGUGAAAUGCGUAGAGAUCUGGAGGAAUACCGGUGGCGAAGGCGGCCCCCUGGACAAAGACUGACGCUCAGGUGCGAAAGCGUGGGGAGCAAACAGGAUUAGAUACCCCGGUAGUC
rnacentral:rRNA from 1 species